AAAUCUUUAGAUUCCCCCUGUAAAUAUAAUUAUUUUCUGUGACUUACAAAUGAAUACACGAGGCUCCGGUUAAACAUUGCGCACAGAGUGUAGUUGAAAGGGUGCACACUCCUCCGUUGACAUUCUGGCUCUGCCCUUGUUCCCUGUGUGACCACAGGCAAGUUACUUAACCUCCCUGAGCCUCAAUUUCCUCACUGGUAAAAUGGGUCAGUGGCUGACACACAGAUCGGGCUAGUCCUAGGUAUGGCCAGCUGUGCUCUUCCCACCAUGUGCAGUGGCUCACACCUGUAAUCCCAGCACUUUGGGAGGCCGAGGCGGGCGGAUCACCUGAGGCUAAGUCAGGAGAAUCAAUUGAUCCCGGGAGGCAGAGGUUGCAGCGAGCCAAGAUCGCACCACUGCAUUCCAGCCUGGGCGACAGAGCAAGACUCCGUCUCAAA
ensembl:lncRNA novel transcript